AGGACGAACGCUGGCGGUGUGCUUAACACAUGCAAGUCGAGCGGUAGGGCCCUUCGGGGUACACGAGCGGCGAACGGGUGAGUAACACGUGGGUGACCUGCCCCCUACUCUGGGAUAAGCCUGGGAAACUGGGUCUAAUACCGGAUAUGACCUGCUGUCGCAUGAUGGUGGGUGGAAAGUUUGUUCUUAAUUGGACACUUCGGUGGGGGAUGGGCCCGCGGCCUAUCAGCUUGUUGGUGGGGUGAUGGCCUACCAAGGCGACGACGGGUA
rnacentral:rRNA from 1 species